rnacentral:rRNA from 1 species
UACGGAGGAUCCGAGCGUUAUCCGGAUUUAUUGGGUUUAAAGGGUGCGUAGGCGGUUUGAUAAGUUAGAGGUGAAAUGUCGGGGCUCAACCCCGAAACUGCCUCUAAUACUGUUGGACUAGAGAAUAGUUGCGGUAGGCGGAAUGUAUGGUGUAGCGGUGAAAUGCUUAGAGAUCAUACAGAACACCGAUUGCGAAGGCAGCUUACCAAACUAUAUCUGACGUUGAGGCA